UGCAGUCGAGCGGACAGAUGGGAGCUUGCUCCCUGAUGUUAGCGGCGGACGGGUGAGAAACACGUGGGUAACCUGCCUGUAAGACUGGGAUAACUCCGGGAAACCGGGGCUAAUACCGGAUGCUUGUUUGAACCGCAUGGUUCAAACAUAAAAGGUGGCUUCGGCUACCACUUACAGAUGGACCCGCGGCGCAUUAGCUAGUUGGUGAGGUAACGGCUCACCAAGGCAACGAUGCGUAGCCGACCUGAGAGGGUGAUCGGCCACACUGGGACUGAGACACGGCCCAGACUCCUACGGGAGGCAGCAGUAGGGAAUCUUCCGCAAUGGACGAAAGUCUGACGGAGCAACGCCGCGUGAGUGAUGAAGGUUUUCGGAUCGUAAAGCUCUGUUGUUAGGGAAGAACAAGUACCGUUCGAAUAGGGCGGUACCUUGACGGUACCUAACCAGAAAGCCACGGCUAACUACGUGCCAGCAGCCGCGGUAAUACGUAGGUGGCAAGCGUUGUCCGGAAUUAUUGGGCGUAAAGGGCUCGCAGGCGGUUUCUUAAGUCUGAUGUGAAAGCCCCCGGCUCAACCGGGGAGGGUCAUUGGAAACUG
rnacentral:rRNA from 2 species